rnacentral:lncRNA from 1 species
UUUUGAAAAAAAGGGGUAAAAAUUAGGAUUUUGGGGAUAUUUUUGAAAAGAAAAUCGGAAACCGGGGGUCAAAACGCAAUUAAGAAAAAUUGUGCCCCGUCAGCGCCACGUCAGCGGCCCAGUCAGCAGUCCUGGCCAACCAGGACCUGCCGCGUGGCAAGACCACGUCGACCCGGGAACGGGCCACAUGGGCGAUCCGCGUGCGCGCGAUCGGACGGCCCAGAUCAAGCGUGCGCACGGACGGCCCAGAUGCAAGCGCACGGACGGCCCAGAUGCACGCGUACGGACGGCACAGAUUCAAUCAAAUACGGACGGUCCAGAUUUAAUCAAAAUGGACGGCUGUGAUCAAAAGGCAAAAUGGUAUAAAUAAAACCCCCACACCUGACCACAAAAACCCUAGCCGCCUGCCCUCGCCGGAGAAGACGAACCAGACGCCGGAGGAGCCAGCCGCCGCCACCCGCCGCCGUACCGGGGAGUUUUCAGACCGCCAAUCGAGGUAAAUUUCAUACCCCCAGCUCAUUUUUCAAUGCUGAGU